ensembl:snRNA U4 U4 spliceosomal RNA
AGCUUUACGCAGUGGCAGUAUCAUAGCCCAUGAGGUUUUUCUAAGGUGUGAUUAUUGCUAACUGAAAACUUGUCCCAAUACCCCACCAUGACGACUUGAAAGAUAGUUGGCAUUGGUAAUUUUUGACAGUCUCUACGGAGA